rnacentral:snoRNA from 1 species
AAUCAAAAAGCUUAUUAAAGCAAGGGAAAAUUUGCCACGGCGAGAUAAUGUAUAUUGUCAAGUUAUACUCGUUGCCAUUUAUUUAUAUAAAUUUCAUUUCCCGAGAUAAGAAUCAUCCCUAUAGGAAGUUUGGAAUCCGUUGGGUCUUUUAAGUGAGGCGAUGGAUUCUGAAUGUCGAAAAAUGGGAUACAUAA